rnacentral:rRNA from 1 species
AUUGAACACUGGCGGCAGGCCUAACACAUGCAAGUCGAGCGGAUGAAGGGAGCUUGCUCCUGGAUGCAGCGGCGGACGGGGGAGUAAUGCCUAGGAAUCUGCCUGGUAGUGGGGGAUAACGUCCGAAAACGGGCGCUAAUACCGCAUACGACCUGAGGGAGAAAGUGGGGGAUCUUGGGACCGAACGCUAUCAGAUGAGCCUAGGUCGGAUUAGAUAGUUGGUGGGGUAAAGGCCUACCAAGGCGACGAUCCGUAACUGGUCUGAGAGGAUGAUCAGUCACCCUGGAACUGAGACACGGUCCAGACUCCUACGGGAGGCCGCAGUGGGGAAUCUUGGACGAUGGGCGAAUGCCUGAUCCAGCCAUGCCGCGUGUGUGCAGAAGGUCUUCGGAUUGUAAAGCACUUUAAGUUGGGAGGAAGGGCAGUAAGUUAAUACCUGGCUGUUUUGACGUUACCAACAGAAUAAGCACCGGCUAACUUCGUG